CACGUAGGGUGCGAGCGUUGUCCGGAAUUAUUGGGCGUAAAGAGCUCGUAGGCGGUGUGUCGCGUCGGCCGUGAAAACCUGCAGCUUAACUGUGGGCGUGCGGUCGAUACGGGCACCACUGGAGUUCGGCAGGGGAGACUGGAAUUCCUGGUGUAGCGGUGAAAUGCGCAGAUAUCAGGAGGAACACCGGUGGCGAAGGCGGGUCUCUGGGCCGAUACUGACGCUGAGGAGCGAAAGCGUGGGGAGCGAACAGG
rnacentral:rRNA from 1 species